GCAUUAUUUUACAACGUAAUACACUAACUAACAAUGUAAUACAGUACGUUCGCUUUCGCAAAGUAAUACACCGUUUUGUUAUCACCUCGUAGUUUUUAUUUGCCCAUCUUGCAAGGAACGAAUUGCUGCGCUGCUUUAAAAUGCAUAGUGCAAUACCUUAUAACGUGCUGUAUAACCUUAUGCAUCGUUUAUCUAUCAGUGGAAAAGCUCUUUCGUACUUUGCAUUUAACGUGGAAACCUACAAACUCGUUCCUACUUAUUCCAUACUACGCCAAACUACACUGUACCCCCGUUGUUCGCUAAUCCUAGGAUCAAGCCUAAAGCUAGUGGUAUUUGUUUGGCAAUGCGCACAGGGGACGCGCUUUGUUGAAUUGGCAAAUGGAGCGCAGAAAAAAAGUUGCAGUUGUCUUUUUCCCGUGAAUUCUUUUUCUUCUUGUGAUUUGUCUUUUUUCUUUUCUUCUCUUCUCGUGAAUUCUUCUUUUUCUUUUCUUUUCUUCUUUUUCUACAUUUUCCUAUUCAUCUAUCCAAAACUCUGAUUUCUUUCUUGACCGUUUCAAUUAGCAUUACAAAAUGAUCGACUUUAAUUAGAAAUACAAAUUGAGUGAUUUCAACUCUACCUAAUCGACUUUAACAAACACUCCAACAAAAAACUCUACCAGCAUUUCCACGCUUGUGCAUUCACCAAACUGACGACCUCUCUUACAACACGUAAAAACGACGCUCGAUUUGCCUUUCUUCGUCUUUGCUAAAUCCAGCAUGCCCUAAUCAGUCAUACUUUCGGAUGCAUCGCCGGGCACUACGCCUUCUUCAUCCUUUGGAUUUGCUCCCACAAAUGACUUGACAAAUCAUGACUCUCCCUCCAGUUGUCUCGUGCCUCUGGUGAAAACAUAAACGACGGCCUCGAAAAUUGCGUCGGCUUUUGUAACAUUGAUCCUGCCAGCGAACGCCGUGUCCCAUACGAACUUGGCUUUGUCGACACAGAAUGAAUACCACUCGAUACCAUCCCAGCGUUACCACUUUCGUCCAUUGCUGUCGUUGCUGUCGCCCUUGUCGUCACCCUCCCUAUCGCUCCACUCUCGGGAACUUUUAAAUCAAUAUCCAUCGCUUCUUCAUUCGUCUCAUGCUGCUUCUCCAACUCUAACAAUACUUGCUGCAAUCGUGUACUCAAUCGAUCCUUCUCAUUCCUUAAACUCGUAAUCUCCACCUCCUUUUGCGAUAUCGUAGACUCUUUCUCAUACACCUGUUCUUUCAUUUCUGCAUUCUGAAUUUGCAAAUCAUUGAUCUCUCGAAACAACCGUUCUCGCUCCAAUGCAUCUUCCGCUUCCUGAACUUGUCGAAUGGCUUUUUCUUCUCUCAACAAAUCCAGCUCCACUUUUUCCGACAUUGUAAUCGUAACCAAAUUGUCCUGCUUUUCUCCUCCACUUUUCAUAGACUGUUGCUGUGGGUAUUCUUUGAGCGCCGACGCUGCUUUCAUCGUUGAUCCCGGUAACUUCUUCGUGGAAAGUCGACUAGUCUCUAACUUUUUCGAAAUCGAAGGGGAUGACGGAAACGAUUGUUUUGACGACGCCGCAUUCGAAACUCCCUUUGAAGAGGAUGAUGGCGCUUUCAAUGUAGAACUUGCAAAUCUAUUCACCAACGAUUGACUACGCAAAGACGUCGUCGAUGGUUUCGUAGGCGAAGAUCGUGUAGAUAGAGAUUCUUCUGUCAAACUCGCCUGUGAUGGAUUCGAGGAUGGUAAUGGUGAAGGUGCUUGUGGUGUAACAGCCAGUUUAACCGGUGAUGUCUUUAAAGGAGAGGCCACUCGUGGCAGCCUGGGACGUGAGGGUUGAUUCGGAUGCGCAUUCACCGUAAUGUCCUUGGAAAGUUCUAAUAUUUUUGGUAACUUUUUAGGAUCCAAUCCCACAAUAUACUUGGACAACACUGGCUGACUAAAAAUUUGCACAAGUGUUGCCAAUACAUUUGUGGUAGCCAUUCGGACUGGCUCAAACGUAUCGUUGAUCAAUGUCACACAUAGGCUACAUAGCGUUUCAAGCGAUGCUCGAGGCGGACAAACAUCCGUCAAUUGUAGGCAACGAUUCAGCCAUCGAAGUGUCUCAGUUUUUACUUGUGGAUUUUUAUGCUUCAAAAAUUCUAACGUCUCAUCCAUUAUAUCAUUCAACCCACAGCUCUCAAAAAUAGCAUUGGCCGCAUCCAGCAAAGAGUGCACCAAACUCGAUUUUCUCUCUUUAAACCUAUCAAAUAAAGAAGGCAAUACAAUACCAGUAUACGGAAGAAAGCCCUUCCUUAGCGCCUUGGCAAUAUGCGUCAAUAAUAAAGCCGCUACACCCACUACCACCACGUUUGCAUCUUUUAGAGACUUUGCAAUCACUCGAAGUAACUCACUAUAGUCACCCUCUUGAUAAACAGGAUUGGAACACACCGGUACCAUGCUUUCCAACGCUUCCUUUCGAUCUUUCCACUUGGGAGAAGAUAAUGCGGUAUGGAAUUCUGGGGUUAGUUUGGAAAGAACAUCAACGGGCGUACUUCCGACAAUGUUUUUGGCAGGAGAUACAAUGGAACGGGAAGGAGAUGCUGAAAAAUCAGAAGGUUGUGAGACCUUUCGGUUAGGAGUACUGAAACUAGAAGUAGAGCGUUGCAGAGUGUUUCCCUGCGAAGAUGACUUUGAGGACAAAUGUGGUUUGGGUUUGGCAUUCGAUGAAAAAGAAGGAAGAACCACCUCUUGGGUGUUGAGGGAAUUUGAAAUAUGUCCUCCCGUGGUCGUGCGAGAUGUAACAUUUUGAAAAGAGGCCUCAAGAUCGGAGACCUGUAUUUGCUUUAGUUGAGGAAACACAUGAGUCUUGAAUGCAUUACCAACCCAAGCGUACAAGGUUAUGGAUAGAUUCGAAGCUUCUUGCCUGAUAUUCUUAUCUGAUUGGGCGAACAAAGUAGGAAUCAGUUUAUAGAAUGGAAUAGGAGAAAGUGCAGGGAUUCCAAAAUUCUCCAAUAAACUAUUUAAUUCUUUUAUAGAAGCAACUGCCUGCUUGGGAUGCUUAACGCGAGCCGCCGAAAAUAACCCUUCUAAUACAUAGUCCAGCGCAUCGGAUUUAGCUAAAAUGAGUAAAGCCUGGUGAGAAGCAUCACGGAUAGAUUGUCUAGGAGAUGGUAAACAUUUUUCGAGUAGAGGAGCAACAACGAACGAUUUGGCAGAAUUAACUCCUUUUUGCCUAGACUUGUCUAAAAAGCAUCGCAGAGAUUUUACGGCAUGCUCUUGUGUUGGUACGUUACUAUCACACAGCCCUUGUUUCCAUAAUGCUGGGUCAUGAAUCCAAGGCUGGAAACAAACGUCUGAAUCAUCCAAUGCUCGGUUCAAUGCAUGCAACAAAGACUCAUAUGCUUCAAAUCGAACUUUCCAAGACUAAAUAAAUCAGUUAGAAACCUAAAAACUUAAAAUAACCCACUACAGAAGUGAGAUCCAUCAAUACUAGGGAGAACAGGUAUGAAAAGAGUAGUGACGGAAACACAAAGCAAUGAGUAAAACUAAUUGAAAUCGUAAAAUACAAUGGAAUUGAUCAACAGUGCCCUUAAUGCCGUUGCAACGAUAUUUCCAUUUGUUUGCUUUUCAUUCCAGUUACAUUUUUCUGGACAGCAAGCUUCUAUCUCCAUUAAUUUGUAAAAAGCUUACCUUAUCAAAAAUUUGACUGAGAAUGCGGCUAUUAAAAUCGUCCAACUCCAUUUACAUAAACAAAUAUAAAUUAACGACUCGUAUGUUUACAACCAGCAGAGCAUGAAUAGUUAUGUAAAAGAAUG
rnacentral:lncRNA from 1 species